rnacentral:rRNA from 1 species
CCUACGGGUGGCAGCAGUGGGGAAUCUUCCGCAAUGGACGAAAGUCUGACGGAGCAACGCCGCGUGAGUGAUGACGGCCUUCGGGUUGUAAAGCUCUGUUAAUCGGGACGAAAGGCCUUCUUGCGAACAGUUAGGAGGAUUGACGGUACCGGAAUAGAAAGCCACGGCUAACUACGUGCCAGCAGCCGCGGUAAUACGUAGGUGGCAAGCGUUGUCCGGAAUUAUUGGGCGUAAAGCGCGCGCAGGCGGAUCAGUCAGUCUGUCUUAAAAGUUCGGGGCUUAACCCCGUGAUGGGAUGGAAACUGCUGAUCUAGAGUAUCGGAGAGGAAAGUGGAAUUCCUAGUGUAGCGGUGAAAUGCGUAGAUAUUAGGAAGAACACCAGUGGCGAAGGCGACUUUCUGGACGAACACUGACGCUGAGGCGCGAAAGCCAGGGGAGCGAACGGGAUUAGAUACCCGGGUAGUC